rnacentral:misc_RNA from 1 species
GCAUAUUAAAGGCUUGCACUUCCAAUGUAACUUCUCUUUGUGUUCUGGGAUUUUCACUGAUUUGAUAUUCACACGUAACAAUUUCUAUGAUGCACUUACAUCAAAGCACGAGAACAUUAAACGAUUUCUACAAUGAAAGUUAAAUUUCAUAUAGAAACACGUACUACCCGCGCUAAGCCGCUAACACACUGCACAUAAAAUAGAUCCAAGAAACAUACUGGUUAAGAAGCCAAUUAGCUGACUCCAGCAACAGAGACUGCAAAGGCAAAACCAGUGUCCUCACCCAUAUAUCAAGGGCGAGCUCUCUUGUUACUGCAGGAUGGGCACUUGUACUGCUUAAUAUGCUCAGCUCUAGCAGGGGUGAUCUUCACACACUUUCCAUGGAACCACUUCUCACAGAUGUCGCAACAAAUCCAGAAUUCAUCAGAUGCA